rnacentral:rRNA from 1 species
GACGAACCACACAAACGUUAUUCGGAAUUACGGGGCUUAAAGGGUGCGUAGGCGGCGCGGAAAGUAGGGUGUGAAAUCCCUCGGCUCAACCGAGGAAUUGCGCCCUAAACUACCGUGCUCGAGGGAGAUAGAGGUGAGCGGAACUUAGGGUGGAGCGGUGAAAUGCGUUGAUAUCCUAAGGAACACCGGUGGCGAAAGCGGCUCACUGGAUCUCUUCUGACGCUGAGGCACGAAAGCUAGGGUAGCGAACGGG